rnacentral:rRNA from 1 species
AGUGAACGCUGGCGGUAGGCCUAACACAUGCAAGUCGAACGGCAGCACAGUAAGAGCUUGCUCUUACGGGUGGCGAGUGGCGGACGGGUGAGGAAUACAUCCGAAUCUACUUUUUCGUGGGGGAUAACGUAGGGAAACUUACGCUAAUACCGCAUACGACCUACGGGUGAAAGCAGGGGAUCUUCGGACCUUGCGCGAUUGAAUGAGCCGAUGUCGGAUUAGCUAGUUGGCGGGGUAAAGGCCCACCAAGGCGACGAUCCGUAGCUGGUCUGAGAGGAUGAUCAGCCACACUGGAACUGAGACACGGUCCAGACUCCUACGGGAGGCAGCAGUGGGGAAUAUUGGACAAAGGGCGCAAGCCUGAUCCAGCCAUACCGCGUGGGUGAAGAAGGCCUUCGGGUUGUAAAGCCCUUUUGUUGGGAAAGAAAAGCAGCAGGUUAAUACCCCGCUGUUCUGACGGUACCCAAAGAAUAAGCACCGGCUAACUUCGUG